GAUGAACGCUGGCGGCGUGCCUAAUACAUGCAAGUCGAGCGAACGGACGAGAAGCUUGCUUCUCUGAUGUUAGCGGCGGACGGGUGAGUAACACGUGGAUAACCUACCUAUAAGACUGGGAUAACUUCGGGAAACCGGAGCUAAUACCGGAUAAUAUUUUGAACCGCAUGGUUCAAAAGUGAAAGACGGUCUUGCUGUCACUUAUAGAUGGAUCCGCGCUGCAUUAGCUAGUUGGUAAGGUAGCGGCUUACCAAGGCAACGAUGCAUAGCCGACCUGAGAGGGUGAUCGGCCACACUGGAACUGGGACACGGUCCAGACUCCUACGGGAGGCAGCAGUAGGGAAUCUUCCGCAAUGGGCGAAAGCCUGACGGAGCAACGCCGCGUGAGUGAUGAAGGUCUUCGGAUCGUAAAACUCUGUUAUUAGGGAAGAACAUAUGUGUAAGUAACUGUGCACAUCUUGACGGUACCUAAUCAGAAAGCCACGGCUAACUACGUG
rnacentral:rRNA from 1 species